AGGAACGGCAGGGGUGUAGGGUGUCUCGAGCCCAGUGUGAACAGCUGAGAGGUGUGAUUUCACAGGCUGGCUCCCCCCUGUCAGGGCCCUGAUUGGGCCGGACAGGAGGCGCAGGAGAGGCCCGGGCUUCUAAAGGACACCAACAGGUGGGAGGCCGCUUUGGAGGGGGGCGCUCCUGGCGGGAUAGAAAAGGCCGAUCUGCAAGGCCUGUAGUGGGCACAAUCCACCGGCCAGAUAUGGAGGAGGAUGGUUGUUCGCAGGAUAGCUGAGGCGAAGAGAGGAGAGGGGCAGGAUGAAGUUGGGGACUGGUUCUCAGGAAGCUGAGGGGUAGUUUGAAAUUAGUUUGGGCUUUUAAUGGGUGGAAAGGGCAACUUUAGGGACAAGGUUGGUCUGAGAUUUAGGUCUUUUCUGUGGUAAAGUGUUUUUGGUCACAGUGCUCCUUUUUAAAGCUCUGGUAGCUUUUCCUUUUGUUAGUUAAUAUAAAAGUUUCAAAUGGGCAUCUAGGUUGUCUAGGUUCACAAGGUUUUAACAAAUCUUCUAGAUUAGGAUGUUGUAGACUUUUGUCCUCAGUUUCUUUCAUUUGCAGCACUGUGUGACUAAAAUCAGGUGUCAAACCAGUUGUUAAAUGUUUUCUGCAAGUUUUACGAUAGACACAGAGCUCCGUGUCGGAGCCUGACACCUCUGUCAGGUGAAGGGGAAGCUGAGGUGUGAUACAGGAAAGAUUCAGGAAAUUUGGUGACUUGACAUGUGUCUCUCAGAGGAGCCGUCACACUCCAAUCAAAGUAGAAGGGCAAGUCUUUCAAAUGGCCAUUUGGUUCAGAGCUGGUUGACAUAGCAAGUGGUUACAUUUUUCACGGAAGUCACCACUAGACAGUGUAGGAGAUGUCGGCUGAACCAAGUGUGGCCUCAAGCUCAACACCAGCUACUCAGCACAAGAAGACCACAAGAGGAGGCACAAGACAUUUCACUGAAGGUAAGGCUGAAGAGGACAUGCCGGCCUGACUGCUUGGAGAUGAUGCCCACCCUCUAUUUCUGCUCUUUCUUGUCCCUCAUUUUCCUUAUUUUUCUGUGUCCUCUACCCCUGUAACCCUUCCUCUCCCCCCUCCUGCUCUCCCUCUCACUCUGCCUCUUGAGGCUGAAGCAACACACCUUGCUGUGGCUGGUCAAACGGAACCAAGUCAGGUGUUUCUGUGAGGUUUGGUCCCCUUCAACCAGCUACUGCGUCGUGAAUUCAGUCAGCAGACACCAGCGUGGAAUCAAAGACACAGUGGCGUUGUGGUGUAUGCUGUAUACUUUGGAGGUGGUAGUCGGUUAACAAUGAUAGACAGAUAGAUAGUUUAUUUUCUUCAGUGGUUUGUUGGUUGUUUCCUGUAUGACAAUGGAUGUUAAUAAAAAUAUUGCUGACAAUG